rnacentral:rRNA from 1 species
AUUGAACGCUGGCGGCAUGCCUUACACAUGCAAGUCGAACGGCAGCGCGGGGGCAACCCUGGCGGCGAGUGGCGAACGGGUGAGUAAUAUAUCGGAACGUACCCAAGAGUGGGGGAUAACGUAGCGAAAGUUACGCUAAUACCGCAUACGAUCUAAGGAUGAAAGCAGGGGACCGCAAGGCCUUGUGCUCCUGGAGCGGCCGAUAUCUGAUUAGCUAGUUGGUGGGGUAAAGGCCUACCAAGGCAUCGAUCAGUAGCUGGUCUGAGAGGACGACCAGCCACACUGGGACUGAGACACGACCCAGACUCCUACGGGAGGCAGCAGUGGGGAGUUUUGGACAAUGGGGGCAACCCUGAUCCAGCAAUGCCGCGUGAGUG